rnacentral:rRNA from 1 species
GAUGAACGCUGGCGGCGUGCCUAAUACAUGCAAGUCGAGCGAACAGACGAGGAGCUUGCUCCUCUGACGUUAGCGGCGGACGGGUGAGUAACACGUGGAUAACCUACCUAUAAGACUGGGAUAACUUCGGGAAACCGGAGCUAAUACCGGGUAAUAUAUUGAACCGCAUGGUUCAAUAGUGAAAGACGGUUUUGCUGUCACGUAUAGAUGGAUCCGCACCGCAUUAGCUAGUUGGUAAGGUAACGGCUUACCAAGGCACCGAUGCGUAGCCGACCUGAGAGGGUGAUCGGCCACACUGGAACUGAGACACGGUCCAGAAUCCUACGGGAGGCAGCAGUAGGGAAUCUUGCGCAAAGGUCGAAAGCAUGACGGAGCAACACCGCGUGAGUGAUGAAGGACUUCGGAUCAUAAAACUCUGUUAUUAGGGAAGAACAAAGGAGUAGGUAACUAUGCACGUCUUGACGGUACCUAAUCAGAAAGCCACGGCUAGCUACGUG